CCUACGGGAGGCAGCAGUAGGGAAUCUUGCACAAUGGGCGAAAGCCUGAUGGAGCAACGCCGCGUGGGUGAAGAAGGUCUUCGGAUCGUAAAACCCUGUUGUUAGAGAAGAAAGUGCGUGAGAGUAACUGUUCACGUUUCGACGGUAUCUAACCAGAAAGCAACGGCUAACUACGUGCCAGCAGCCGCGGUAAUACGUAGGUGGCAAGCGUUAUCCGGAUUUAUUGGGCGUAAAGGGAACGCAGGCGGUCUUUUAAGUCUGAUGUGAAAGCCUUCGGCUUAACCGGAGUAGUGCAUUGGAAACUGGGAGACGUGAGUGCAGAAGAGGAGAGUGGAACUCCAUGUGGAGCGGUGAAAUGCGUAGAUAUAUGGAAGAACACCAGUGGCGAAAGCGGCUCUCUGGUCUGUAACUGACGCUGAGGUUCGAAAGCGUGGGUAGCAAACAGGAUUAGAUACCCCAGUAGUC
rnacentral:rRNA from 1 species